rnacentral:lncRNA from 1 species
GCUAACAAACAAAGAAAAUAGAAGAAAAUUAGUGUGGCUGUAUAGAUGUGGUUCUUCGGGCAGCAAGCUAGACUUUUGCAAACUCAAAAUGAAUUUCAAUCGUUUUUUUUUAUUUCGAAUAUUUUUUUUCUUCUUUUUUUUUACACUUUGCCAAAUACAAUAGAAAGCUUUGAACACAAAAUAAUAAUAAGAUUUUUUUUCGAUUUUUUUCGAUUUUUUUUAUUUUUUUUACAAUCUCGUAAUACUAAUUACAACGAUUCUUACCUAAUUCAACUAGC